rnacentral:rRNA from 1 species
AUGUCGACGGUGGAGGAGGAGCUGUCCGAGUGCGAGGUGCUGUGGCCGGAGACGCGCCACGGCGCUCCGGGGAGCGCGUGGGGGUCGUCGACGGCGGCUCCCAGGGCCUCCAGGGACCACCGGCAGUGUUCAGCGCCGGUGGACAUACCCCGUGGCCGUGGGCGUGCUGGCCUGGACGACGACGAGGAGGAGGAGGACGGCGCCAUGGUGCCGCCGCACCUGAUGGUGUCGCGCAGGUGGUCGGAGGGGAAGGCGGCGGCGGCGUUCUCGCUGCGGUCGGGGCCCGGGCGGGCGCACCGGGACCUCAACAACCUGCGCAACUCCGUGCUGCGGAUGACCGGCUUCAUCGAAGGGUGA